AUAAGAGACCGGUCCCUUCUUUUUUAAAUCCAAUCUGUUUCCGCCUCGGCUGUUGUGAUUGACGGUGGGCAAGCGUCUCGCGUGCGCCAAACGCAGAAUGAUUGCCCAGGGGGUGCUGCCAUUCCCUGCCGCUCCUCCUCCUCCUCUCCUUCUCCCCUGCAGCACCACCACCCUCGUCAGGUCUGUUUGGUUCUCUGUCUCUGUCUAUCCUAAUAAAUUUGCAAGAGCGAAAAAAGAAGCAACAAAGAAAAGGGAGGGCGAGAGAGUCGGGACUCCGGAUCACGCAUACGCUGCCCUCUCCAGCAAAAUCUCCCGGACCGACCGGAUGAAUUGGGACUCGAGGAGGAGACGGAGAUGUGAAGCGGUGACCAAGGCCGAGAACCCGGGAGGGGACGAACUGGGUGCCAGGACGAGGACGGCUUAUCUGUCCGCGCGACGCAAGGAGAGGAUCGAGCUCCCCGACUACGGGGGCCCCAUCACGUUCAGCGAUUUCGUCAACCACCCUUCCGGCGUGGAAGCCCUCCUAAACACUCGAGCCUUGCACAGCUUUCGGCCCUUGGAUUCCAACACCUACAGGUGCACCUUGCAAAAGAUCCAGUUCCUCAAGUUUGAAGUGGCCCCCGUGCUAGACUUACGCGUGACCCCGACAAGAGAAGGCUGCACGGUCGAGAUGGUGGAUUGCAGGUUUGAGGGUUCUGGAAUAGUAGAGCAGCAAAAUCAUGUUUUUUCAGUCUCCUGCCUGGUCAGUGAUAGCUGUGGAGUCCAAAAAAGCAUUUGUGAGAAACCAUAUAACUUGGGAGAGAAAUGGUUCUGAGCCAUGCUUGGAUGUGGACGUGAAUUUAAAAGUUUCCCUUGAGGUCUAUACAAAACCCUUUAACUUGCUUCCACUAUCAGCAGUGGAAAAACCUGGAAACCUGCUUAUGCAAGGUCUUCUUGACAGGCUUGUCCCUUUGCUUGUUGAGCAGCUACUCGAUGACUACCGCACUUGGGUCAGCGAGCAGUUUCGAGUUUCUUCAUGAAUUCUCCUGUAUAGUCCUUGUAUUUAGGAGUUUCCUCAUGUGGUCAACGCACAGAAAUUGGCCUAAAGCGGUGCAUGGAUAUUACACAUUUAGAGAGCAUCAAUAGUAGAUUUUUCCAAUCUCCUUGUGCUGAUCCUUUUCUGAUUUAUCACUAAUUGUGUGAUUCAGUUCCGACAUUCUUCAAGGACGAUUUCAAGAAAUUAAUAAGUAUGGUUCAAUUAUGGAUCAUCUUACAAUCAUAUGCAAGAUCUCAAAUGCUAGAUUAAAGUCAAGAAGGAUAUUCAUUUGCCA